UACAGAGGUCUCGAGCGUUAGGCGGAAUCACUGGGCUUAAAGCGUGUGUAGGCGGAUCGGUAAGUACCUUGUGAAAUCCCACAGCUUAACUGUGGAACUGCUUGGUAUACUGCCAGUCUUGAGCCACUUAGGGGCUACCGGAACAAAUGGUGGAGCGGUGAAAAUGCGUAGAUAUCAUUUGGGAACGCCAAUGGUGAAAACAGGUAGCUGGGAGUGUGCUGACGCUGAGAACACGGAAAGCCAGGGGAGCAAACGGG
rnacentral:rRNA from 1 species